UUUACUAUUAAGUAAUGGCUUUUUCGAUCUUUUACUGAAAGUUCAUAAUCUUGCAGUUUCGUCGGUUCAUCCUUCUCGCAAAUUAGUCUCUCUGUUUCAUGUGGUAUGUUCUUCAAUAGCCUUUAAUAAUUGUUCUAAUUCAAUAUUGAAACUGCUGUCAAAUAUUCAAAGUUGUUAAGAAUUGUUCGUAUUGAUGGUAGACAUUAUCGUUUCCAAUCACAGAGAAUUGGCAAGACACAAAUUCCACCAAUCUGGAGAAGCAAAUAAAUUGAUGAUUGGGAGUUUAUCACUCUGUAGAACAAGUCAGCACAAGUGGCCAAAGAUCCUACCAUAUGUUAAAAUCACACACGAUGUCAGCUAUUUCAGUAGCAUGAUCUUUAAACGUUAAUGGGAUGAAUUCUUUUUCUUGGCUGAAAGUUUGAAUGGAGAUUCAACAAGCUAGAUUUUAGGAUGGGAUUCAAGUGAAGCAUGAAGACCAAGCACGAGGAUCUCGUGAGAGAACAUUGUACUGAAUAUAAGAUUGACUAGCAUGCUUUUGGAAGAGUACUACUAUUAGA